rnacentral:rRNA from 1 species
UACGAAGGGGGCUAGCGUUGCUCGGAAUCACUGGGCGUAAAGCGCACGUAGGCGGAUUGCUAAGUCAGGGGUGAAAUCCUAGAGCUCAACUCCAGAACUGCCUUUGAUACUGGCGACCUUGAGUCCGGGAGAGGUGAGUGGAACUGCGAGUGUAGAGGUGAAAUUCGUAGAUAUUCGCAAGAACACCAGUGGCGAAGGCGGCUCACUGGCCCGGUACUGACGCUGAGGUGCGAAAGCGUGGGGAGCAAACAGG